GUAGGUGAACCUGCGGAAGGAUCAUUAAUGAAUAACUAUGGUGUUGGUUGUUGCUGGCUUCUAGGAGCAUGUGCACGCCCGCCAUUCUUAUCUCUCCACCUGUGCACAUUAUGUAGGUCUGGAUAACUCUCGCUCUCGGGCGGAUACAGGGAUUGUCGCUUGCGGCUCUCCUUGAAUUUCCAGAUCUAUGUAUUUACAUACCCCAAUUGAAUGAUGAAGAAUGUAGUCAAUGGGCUUUAUGCCUAUAAAACAAAAUACAACUUUCAGCAACGGAUCUCUUGGCUCUC
rnacentral:misc_RNA from 1 species